rnacentral:tmRNA from 1 species
GGGGAUGUAAUGGUUUCGACGGGGAAUGUGAACAUUGGCAAGCGGGCGGUGGCAUUGCGGAACCACCUUAAAAUCCGUAAAUCUUUAAAUAAUAAACGACAGAAAAACACCUGUUGCUCUUGCCGCUUAAUUAGGCAAGCGUCCUGACCGGGAGCACCACGUACCGGUCCGGGCGUCGAUUUAGUGGUGAACGUGAAUGCAGGAACGGCUCGGUCUGCAUCACGGCUCAGAGCCUACCGAAGCGUACAGCCUGUUUGUCGGCGGUACGACGGGGGAAUCCCAAAAGACAGACUGCGCCCGGAGAAAACCUUUGGGAAGGUUUCUCGGACAGGAGUUCGAUUCUCCUCAUCUCCAC